UGGGGGAUAUUGCACAAUGGGCGAAAGCCUGAUGCAGCGACGCCGCGUGGGGGAUGAAGGCCUUCGGGUUGUAAACUUCUUUUGCUCUGAACAAGGCGCACCAUGGGGUGUGUUGAGUGUAGGGGUUGAUUAGCGCCGGCUAACUACGUGCCAGCAGCCGCGGUAAUACGUAGGGCGCGAGCGUUGUCCGGAAUUAUUGGGCGUAAAGGGCUUGUAGGUGGCUGGUUGCGUCUGUCGUGAAAGCUCAUGGCUUAACUGUGGGUUUGCGGUGGGUACGGGCUGGCUUGAGUGCAGUAGGGGAGGCUGGAAUUCCUGGUGUAGCGGUGGAAUGCGCAGAGAUCAGGAGGAAUACCGGUGGCGAAGGCGGGUCUCUGGGCUGUUACUGACACUGAGGAGCGAAAGCAUGGGGAGCGAACAGG
rnacentral:rRNA from 1 species